rnacentral:rRNA from 1 species
UACGUAGGGGGCAAGCGUUAUCCGGAAUUAUUGGGCGUAAAGCGUGCGUAGGCGGCUUUUUAAGCGUGGGGUUUAAGGCUAUGGCUCAACCAUAGUAUGCCCUGCGAACUGGAAGGCUUGAGUACAGGAGAGGAAAGCGGAAUUCCUAGUGUAGCGGUGAAAUGCGUAGAUAUUAGGAGGAACACCAGUGGCGAAGGCGGCUUUCUGGACUGAAACUGACACUGAGGUACGAAAGCGUGGGGAGCAAACA